rnacentral:rRNA from 1 species
AGAACGAACGCUGGCGGCAGGCCUAACACAUGCAAGUCGAACGCUCGUAGCAAUACGGGAGUGGCAGACGGGUGAGUAACGCGUGGGAACCUUCCCAGUGGUACGGAAUAGCUCAGGGAAACUUGAGGUAAUACCGUAUACGCCCCUAGGGGGAAAGAUUUAUCGCCAUUGGAUGGGCCCGCGUCGGAUUAGCUAGUUGGUGAGGUAACGGCUCACCAAGGCGACGAUCCGUAGCUGGUUUGAGAGAAUGACCAGCCACACUGGGACUGAGACACGGCCCAGACUCCUACGGGAGGCAGCAGUGGGGAAUCUUGGACAAUGGGCGCAAGCCUGAUCCAGCCAUGCCGCGUGAGUGACGAAGGCCUUAGGGUUGUAAAGCUCUUUUGCCGGGACGAUAAUGACGGUACCCGGAGAAUAAGUCCCGGCUAACUUCGUGCCAGCAGCCGC